CACUGAGUGCCACUACGAUAUCUGACAGCACUGCGCCUUUCUAGCCAUGCUCUGGCCCUCCCAAUGUGUCUGCAAAUAUAUAGAUGAAAGAUGGUUCUUAGGCUAACAAUCGGAUUGCUUAUUGCCAUAGGUACGAGUACGAGUACGAGUUUAACAAGUGAGCGGUACGAAUUAUAAACUGUAGCCAGUUGGCCGCGACUCUACAGAUGAUUUGUCUGUUGCUGUGUAAAAAAAAAAAACAAAACAAGAAACGAAGAAUCAAAUGAAAAAUGGUAAAAUAACAAGUUUUGUGUUAGCUUCAAUGAACAAAUACUUUUAGUGGGUUGGUUCGGCAACGUUUCUGAAAUCGAGCCCGAAACCCGACUUCCAGCACAGCAAGAGUAGCCUGGAAGGGGCCAUCGCCAUCCUUUGCCAAGACACGCAGGUGCUGGUAGUCGAGUCUGGUAGUCCCGGGAACGUGAGAUACAGUGAUCCUCAGGAAUUCAAUGAAUUUUUAAACCAAUUAUGCGGCGCUCACGUCAACUUUGUUCCUUUUGGUGGAUUAUAUAGCUUUAUUAGUUUCAAUUCAAAUACGCAUAUGUCCCAAAUAAUUAAACCGAAAUAAUUUAGCCGCCAAAGAAUAUCAAAGAAAUUGUUCUCUCAUUUCCUCAACGCUCAGCAGCCCAUCCAGAGGCGCAGGCAGCUGCAGGUUCUGGUUCUGCCACGCUAAUUGCUUGUUCGACACAAUGUAUUUUGGCAUUUCGUUUCUCUUUAAGUAUAGCUACGCGUGUACUUGUAGUGUGUAUUGAUUGAUUGAUUGCUUUCGAAUUGAAUUAGGUGCUAAUUUCCAUAACCGGGCUACGCUACAACCGUGUGAACUCUAAAUAUGUUAUAUAGUUCUCUGUGGGACUCUCUUACUGCGGUCGGUGUUCAUUAAGUUUUAAAUUAUGUUCAGCUGCUUCGUGUAAUUUCUUUUUCUGGAUUUUGUUGCUGCUACGCAAGUGGAAUGCAACGGGCGGGUUCAG